CUUAGCUGUUUCAGUGAAAAAGUAGCAGCACAGUCUAACUUCUCUCACUUCAGCAACUUCUCCUCAAUAAUGGACGACAAGAACGGAGCUACUGAUGGAAUUGAGAAUCUGCCUAAGGUGAAUCUGCCUGAAGUUAAACGUUCUUGAGGUGACGAAGUAGACGAUGACGAACCAGAAUCUGUCCCAUCUGGGUCCGGAGACAAAGCUGAGGAGCUAAAUGUUUCUUCCCUAGCUAUUGAUGAGAACAAGAAUGUCAACAGGUUUCUGGAUGACCCAGACGAUUCAAACAUCAGAGCGGCAUUAUAUGUUGACAUGAAUUUUGAGAGGCCUAGCAAGAUUCAGGAAAUUAGCUUGCCAAUGAUUUUGACUCCACCCCAUAAGGAUCUAAUAGCUCAAGCGCGCAAUGGUUCUGGUAAGACCACAUGCUUUGUGCUUGGAAUGUUGAGUCGGGUUGAUCCAACUCUGAAAGCACCGCAGGCCCUUUGCAUUUGUCCUACAAGAGAAUUGGCAAUACAGAGUACAUGUUGCAGAACCUAGAAGUUCUUCAAAAGAUGGGGAAAUAUAUAGGGAUAACUUCUGAAUGCGCUGUUCCAAUGGAUAGCACCAAUUAUAUCCCAAUUACGAAACGGGCACCAAUAACUGCACAAAUAGUGAUCGGUACGCCAGGUACAAUAAAGAAAUGGAUGUCUGCAAAGAAACUUAGCUCAAGGGAUAUGAAAAUUCUUAUUUUUGAUGAGGCCGAUCGCAUGUUG